CUUCGCCGUGUAAAGCCCCUUCGACGAGUCGAGUUGUUUGGGAAUGCAGCUCUAAAUGGGAGGUAAAUUUCUUCUAAAGCUAAAUACCGGCCAGAGACCGAUAGCGCACAAGUAGAGUGAUCGAAAGAUGAAAAGCACUUUGGAAAGAGAGUCAAACAGCACGUGAAAUUGUUAAAAGGGAAGCGCUUGCAGCCAGACUUGCCUGUAGUUGCUCACCCGGGCUCCUGCCCGGGGCACUCUUCUGCAGGCAGGCCAGCAUCAGUUUGGGCGGUAGGACAAAGGCCUCUGACACGUAUCUCCCUUCGGGGUUAACAUAUAGGGGGGGCGCAAUGCUACCAGCCCGGACUGAGGUCCGCGCAUCUGCUAGGAUGCUGGCGUAAUGGCUGUAAGCGGCCCGUCUUGAAACACGGACCAAGGAGUCUAACAUCUAUGCGAGUGUUUGGGUGUCAAGCCCGAGCGCGUAAUGAAAGUGAACGGAGGUGGGAACCCCUCGGGGCGCACCAUCGACCGAUCCUGAUGUCUUCGGAUGGAUUUGAGUAAGAGCAUAGCUGUUGGGACCCGAAAGAUGGUGAACUAUGCUUGAAUAGGGUGAAGCCAGAGGAAACUCUGGUGGAGGCUCGCAGCGGUUCUGACGUGCAAAUCGAUCGUCAAAUUUGGGCAUAGGGGCGAAAGACUAAUCGAACUAUCUAGUAGCUGGUUCCUGCCGAAGUUUCCCUCAGGAUAGCAGUAACGUUUUCAGUUUUAUGAGGUAAAGCGAAUGAUUAGAGGCCUGGGGGUUGAAACAACCUUCACCUAUUCUCAAACUUUAAAUAUGUAAGAAGUCCUUGUUACUUUAUUGAACGUGGACAUU
rnacentral:rRNA from 1 species